AGCCGUAUGGCCGAGUGGUCUAACGCGCAGCGCGUCUUCAAUCGCUAGGUCAGGGGUUCGAUCCCCACCGCGGCGU